rnacentral:rRNA from 1 species
UUGAACGCUGGCGGCAGGCCUAACACAUGCAAGUCGAACGGUAACAGGAAGAAGCUUGCUUCUUUGCUGACGAGUGGCGGACGGGUGAGUAAUGUCUGGGAAACUGCCUGAUGGAGGGGGAUAACUACUGGAAACGGUAGCUAAUACCGCAUAACGUCGCAAGACCAAAGAGGGGGACCUUCGGGCCUCUUGCCAUCGGAUGUGCCCAGAUGGGAUUAGCUAGUAGGUGGGGUAACGGCUCACCUAGGCGACGAUCCCUAGCUGGUCUGAGAGGAUGACCAGCCACACUGGAACUGAGACACGGUCCAGACUCCUACGGGAGGCAGCAGUGGGGAAUAUUGCACAAUGGGCGCAAGCCUGAUGCAGCCAUGCCGCGUGUAUGAAGAAGGCCUUCGGGUUGUAAAGUACUUUCAGCGGGGAGGAAGGGAGUAAAGUUAAUACCUUUGCUCAUUGACGUUACCCGCAGAAGAAGCACCGGCUAACUCCGUG